UACGUAGGGGGCUAGCGUUGUCCGGAAUCAUUGGGCGUAAAGAGCGUGUAGGCGGUCCGGUAAGUCCGCUGUGAAAGUCGUGGGCUCAACCCUCGAAUGCCGGUGGAUACUGUCGGGCUAGAGUGCGGAAGAGGCGAGUGGAAUUCCCGGUGUAGCGGUGAAAUGCGCAGAUAUCGGGAGGAACACCAAUGGCGAAGGCAGCUCGCUGGGACGUUACUGACGCUGAGACGCGAAAGCGUGGGGAGCAAACAGG
rnacentral:rRNA from 1 species